UCGAGAAUCAUUCACAAUGGGCGCAAGCCUGAUGGUGCGACGCCGCGUGGGGGAAGAAGGGCUUCGGUCUGUAAACCCCUGUCAUCUGUUAACAAAUCUUUUUGGCUAAUAACCAAAAAGCUUGAUAGUCGCAGAAGAGGAAGGGACGGCUAACUCUGUGCCAGCAGCCGCGGUAAUACAGAGGUCCCAAGCGUUGUUCGGAUUCACUGGGCGUAAAGGGUGCGUAGGCGGUGAGAAAAGUCUGAUGUGAAAGCUCCGGGCUCAACCCGGAAAAUGCAUUGGAUACUAUCCCACUAGAGGAUCGGAGGGGGGACUGGAAUUCUUGGUGUAGCAGUGAAAUGCAUAGAUAUCAAGAGGAACACCAGUGGCGAAGGCGAGUCCCUGGACGAUUCCUGACGCUGAGGCACGAAGGCUAGGGUAGCAAACAGG
rnacentral:rRNA from 1 species